AUUUAAAUAGCUUAGAAAGAGCAUAAUAUUGAAGAUAUUAGGGUGAUUGUUAUUAAUCUUUAGAUA
rnacentral:tRNA from 1 species